AAAAUUUCAGCAAAAUUUUAGAGGGUUGUGCCAUGGUUUGGGAAUAGUAUUCUCCAAUUUAAUUCUUCGAGUUAAACCACUCCCUCUUCCCCAUGGUAGGAUGGAGAGAAGAACUGGAGGAACAAAAGUGCAGGGAGAACAACAAAACCAGGGAACUUUCACUGGUUUAAAGACUCUCAGCAUGCCUGGUUCACAUGAAUUCCUUUUUAAGAACCGAGUACCAGCUGAGAGAGAAGAUCUGACACUUCAGUCUGACCCAGCAUUAAGCUCUUACGCCACAGAGUCCCCGGAGAACACAAACUCUCCAGGAGAAAUGGGAUUUCUUUGAUGUCACUGCACCGGGAGGAGGAAAGUGGCCAAGGCAUCCUUUGAAACCAUCCCAUUCAACCAGGAUGCUUCAUUUCCAAGUGUCCUAUUUGCAGCCAACUCACAAGGACAUGAGGCACUUCUGAAGUCCUGGGUAUUUUCUUUUUAAGUACACCACAUUUAUUCAAACCAGACAAAGGUUUUUUUCUUAUUGGUAAGUGCUGAAACAAUUAGAAAACUUGCUACAUUUAAGGAUGCAAUUAACACUCAGCAGACAAUCCAAAUUCCAUGGAAAUUUUAGUAGGAAUAAGGACAUUAAUAAUCCUCUCACAGAAUUCUAAAAUCAGUGAAUUUAUUGCAUGCCCUGAGUAGCUAAGAUACCAGGAAGCACAAGUUACAACACAAACAUUAACUGAGAGUAAAGAUGAAGACGUUAGACUGAAAGUUCAAAAAUCUGUUCUCUAUGUUUUUCUUUUUAAAGGAUUAAUUUGACAAGAUCAGCUUUAACACAACAAUCUUAAAGACAGCGUUACAGAUCAUGAACUCCAGAAUCUCCUCACAGAAGUUAGUCAGGGGAUUUUAUUCAGGAACAGAAAACAUCUAUUCAACACCUCCAUUUACCUGUUGCUAAAGUACAACCUCCUCCCCAGUGUGACAGCACAAAAAGCAGGAAAGGACCUGGCUCUGAGUGAGCCCUGCUCAGCAAUAACAAAAACAUUUCUAUACCAUCAACGCUGUGCUCAGCACAAAUCCAAAAUGCAGCCCUACACCAGCCACUGGGAAGAAAAUUACCUCAGCCAAAACAAGCACACAUGCAAAAAAGCUUCAGAAGAUGAAUAAUACAUGUACAUAAACAGAUGCAUAUAUAUAUAUAUAUAUACACACACACAUAUAUCUGGGA